AUCUUUAUAAUUAGUUCCAAUUAAACGGUUUGAUUCAAGAAUUCGAGAGAGAGGAUUGGAAGCGGACAUUUUGUUCUGCAGAGAGUAAAGAAUCAAGUUAGAUUUUUGUAUUUGUUUUGAAAAAUUGUUUUAGGGAUUUUAAAAACAAUAAAUUUAGCCUCCCAUUAUUUUCUCGAGUCUCUAACAUUCCUCGGGUAGAGAAACGAAAACCCAACGCGACAAAAGGUUUCAAGUGGGUACUGCGGUCCCACCAAUUUAACGUACCACCUCACCUAACAGUUAUUGGUGAUAUGCAAACCGAUGAGUGGACAACUCUUGUCCAAUGCUUCUCAAGCAAAUUGCAGUGAUCGGUCUCUAAGUCCUGUAGGCCUCACCUGACAGUUAUUGGCCCCAUUCCUUAGUUAAGUCAGACCCACCGUUCAAACGCGUAAGCAAACCCGUCAUUGGGUCCCUCACCUGACAGUUAUUGGGCCCAACCCUAUCUUUACUCCGCAGCAUCUCAUGCUAAUAGAGUGGUUGCGCCUUCCCGAUGCAACUGACCACUGUAACCAGCCGUGCUAAUCAACACCCGAAAAACGCCCACACUUCUACAACGGCGGAAGACCGCUCGACUUAAUAUUUAUGAGGAGGUUAAUAUUUAGGUCUCAAAAAUUAUUUUAUUUAUUUCUAUCUAAUGCAAAUAAAAAAUCAAUCCGCGCAAAUAAAUAUAAUUAAACUGGUGAUGAUCAUGGAUCUAAGAAGUGGAUUCGGACUCGAGCCACUGAGUCGAAAUCGGGGUCUUAGGGUCAUAAAUUACAAGCACACACACGUCAUCGGUUUGAUCAUCUUCUACUUCUUGAUCCGAUCUGGAGCUUCAACUUGAUUUGAUCCUUAUCAACACCUUGAUCCGACCGCCAUCAAGUAUUCGUCUCUAUUCGGGCCGUGCGAACUUUUAGGCUUGCAACCGAUCAACAAAUGACGUGCAACCAUACAUUAUACAACCCAACAAUAAAAAUGAAAUGAAAAUUAAUUACAUUUGAUAACUUUUAUCUCUAACCUAUUGAGACACGCAGGUCUCCAAAUAAAUCGGCUUGUGCACGCAGGCACAAAUAUAGCCAUCUCUAAUACAAAGUCCUUAAUUUAAACAAAUUUAAAAUUACAGGAUUCUGCAUACACAUCAUACAUCACAUGUCGAAAUAUAAAUAGGUCGCUAUCCAUGAUCAUCACCGAUAUAUAUCUCAUACAUCACAUACAUAAAAAUUUUGGGUAUUCUAAUUAACCGUUAACCGAUAAUUCGAAAAAUAAUAGUGACUAAAUCACUAAUAACAAUCAAUCUUAUUGAUCUUUAUAAUUUUGAUCAAAAAUUUAAUCUUCCAAAACAAUUUGAUCUCAUCAAGAUUUAAAUUUGAUCUAAUCAAAUUAGAUCCUCUUCUUUUAGUUAAAUAAAAAUUUUAAAAAAAAAUUUGAUUUCCGUACGAAUGCUACAGUAGCGUCCGUACGGACUGCUACAGUAAAAUCCGUACGGUUUUUUUAUUUUUUAUUUUUUAUUUUUUAAAUUGUUGCUUGAAAACAAGAAACCGUUCGAUUAAAUUGUUGAUCACUUUGAUUUUUUCGAAUUAGCCAAAAACGAUCGAUAAAUCGUUCUACCGGUGGAAAAACGGUUUAGAAUACCCAAAUUUAUAAUUUUAAUCUUAAAAACAUGAGGAUGUCUCUGAUACCACUGUUAGAAAAUUGCGUACGGUAAAACGCAGCGAAAAAGAAAUCAAACAAAUUUGAUUUUGAAAACUCUCGAGAUCUAAUCUCAAAACCACGCAAUUAGGAUCCCUCAUGUUCUUUAAGAUUAAAGGAGAAAAGUAAGAUCGAAUCAUUACCUUUUUCGCGGAUAAAUCCUUCCCUCAAUUUGAUGAUCGUGGAAUCGGGUUCUCUUGAAGCCGCAC
rnacentral:lncRNA from 1 species